AGGACCAGUAGUGCAGAGGCCCCGAGGUGAGGUGGGCAGGUGUGCUGGCAGCUCUGUGUGGCCAUCUGGAGAGAGCACAGGACCUGAGGCCGCAGACACAAGUGGUGGCUGGGAGAGGAGGCAGAUCACAGAGCCACGUCAUGGCCAUGUGAAGGACCUUGGCCUUCGUCAGAGAAUGCGGAGCCACUGCAGGCUCUGAGCAGAGGUUUCCUGGAACAAAUCAGAACAUCUUCUGAAGAUGACACACCUUCCAGUAUGUGGACAACGACACGAGGGUCUCCAGCAUUUCCAGCAGGGCCCCAGUUUAUCAUCUCUGACUUUUACAGCAGGAAGAUCUGGGUGUUGGGGAAUCCUGCGCUGGAAAAUCAGAUUGGCUGAUUUUCACAGGGACUUACAAGGCAAGUGGAAAAGACCCAAGCGACUAAAUACCCAGAAGGUAUCUGAGGAUCAAUAAUGCAGUCAUCACAGCUAACCAUGGAAGGGCACAGCACACCUGAGGCUGUUGGUUGCCUCUUCACAGAGCCAUCCUCACUGGCCUGGAAUGUAUGGCAGCCCUUGCUUCAGAGGACGCACUGAGGCCAGAGCUCUGUGACUCUCAGGACCCCUGACAGCUUGCCCUGGGGACACAAGGCCCAGGCCUGUUUCUGGACAAUGACUUUCUUCUUCCUGCUUCCUUCUCCCUCUCUCUUCCUUCUUUUUAAAUACUAGUAACAGCCUUAUUGAGGUCUAAUCCACAUGCCACACAGUUCACCUUCCUAGCAUGUAUCAUUCAAUGGUUCUAGUAUGUUCACAGAUAUGUGCCACCAUCAUCACCACAGUCAAUUUUUAAGAGAUUUUCAUCACUCUCCCCCAAAAUCCCAUACACAUUAGAAGUGUUCCCCUUCCUCAAUCCUGAACCCAUCAUUGG